rnacentral:lncRNA from 1 species
AGGGUCUGAGGAAUACCCUCCAAGCCGCAGGCAGAGCAAGUGCAGAUGCUCUGAGUGUGAAGGGGCUUGCCCUGUUUGAGGAACAGCUGGAUGCCAGUGCCACUAGACCAAGGUAAAGGGCACAGGGACGGAGGGCAGGCAGGGGCUUGACCAUGGACAGCCUCACCAGCCACGGUAAGCAUGUUGGAAGAUUUAAGAAAGGAAGUGACAGCCGGAUGCAGUGGCUCACGCCUGUAAUCCCAGCACUUUGGGAGGUCGAGAUGGGCGGAUCAUUUGAGGUCAGGAGUUCGAGACCAGCCUGGCCAACAUGAUGAAAUGCCGUCUCUACUAAAAAUACAAAAAAAAUUAGCUGGGCAUAGUGGCACACACCUGUAAUCCCAGCUACUUGGGAGGCUGAGGCAGGAGAAUUGCUUGAACCUGGGUGACGGAGGUUGCAGUGAGCUGAGAUCGCACCACUGCAUUCCAAGUCUGGGUGAUGGAGCGAGACUCCGUCUAAACAACAACAACAACAACAACAACAACAACAAAAGAAAGGAAGUGACAUGGCCUGAUCUACAUUAUUUCAAUGUCAAGCUGGCUGCUGCAGGGGGAGGCUGUUACACUUGCACUCUCUCUAAGGGAGAGCUGGUGGUGGCUCUGACAUGGAGAUGGACAGUUGGACCACUGGCCACAGGGUAAGCAUGGAAGCAGAGAAAUGAAUUAGGAGGCUCAGCAGAGUCCUCUAGAUGAGAGAUAAUGAGGCACAGGACUGGGGUAGAUGUGGAAGAGGGGUGAGAAGUGCUUGGACUCAGAACAUUUACUGAAGGCAGAGCCAGCUAGACUUGUUAACAGAUAAGAGAUGGUGUGUAAGAGAAAAGAGAAAAGCUCUGGGUGACUAUGUGUUUGGCCAGAGCACCUGAGUGUAAGAAAAGGUGUCCCAUUUAUUGAGAACUGGAGGGAGUGCAGACUGGAAUGGAACAUGGAUAAGGACUUUGGGGGAUCAGAAGUUGGUUUUGGGGCCGGGAGCGGUGGCUCACGCCUGUGAUCCCAGCACUAUGGGAGGCAAAGGCAGGCAGAUCAGCUGAGGACAGGACUCCGGGAUCAGCCUGGCCAAUAUGGCAAAAUCCCGUCUCUAUUAAAAAUACAAAAAUUAGCCAGGCGUGGUGGCGGGUGCCUGUAAUCCCAGCUACUUGGGAGGCUGAGGCAGGAGAAUGGCUUGAACCGGGAGGCGGAACUUGCAGAGAGCCGAGAUAGCGCCACUGCACUCCAGACUGGUGACAGAGUGAGACUCCGUCUCAGAAAAAAAAAAAGUUUGUUUUGGGGUGGGCUAACAGGGUCACUGCACUACACCACUCUGGAGCCAUCAUUCACACUUGCUGGACUCCAGUCCUCUGCUGACAAAGGUGCAAUGGUGAUGCUGUAUUAGGCAUCUAAGGAGAGAUGUCAAACAGGUGGCCGAACAAGAAUCAUGUGAGAUACGAAAUGUGAGUCAAGUAAUUCUCACAAUUCCCAGAAGAAAAGGAAAUCAUUAAUUCUAGCUUGCAAAGGAGAAACACAAAAUCCAAGAUCACAUUUCAAGCCCAUGAAAUGAAGAAAAGAAUUUGAGUGUCCUGUUUACUAAGUAUGUUAUCCCAUGAAUGAUAAAAUUUAAAAAGAAAUUUUUUUUUGAGAUUGGGGGGUGGAUCUCACUAUGUUGUCCAGGCUGGUCUUGAACUCCCCGGCCCUGAGCAAUCUUCCUGCCUCAGCCUUUCAGGUAGCUGGAAAACUUUUUUUUUUUUUUUGGCGGGGGGGUCACCAGACCAGUGGUUUUGCAGGUGAAACAACCACAGUGGUGAAAGGGCCCACUUUUAAUGAACAGAAUGCCACUUUUACAUGUUCUUUCAAAACAAAGAAGAUGGCUGGGCAUGGUGGCUCAUGCCUGUAAUCCCAGCACUUUGGGAGGCCGAGGCAGGCAGAUCACCUGAGGUCAGGAGUUUGAGACCAGCCUAGUCAACAUGGUGAAACCUCGUCUGUACUAAAAAUACAAAAAUUAGCUAGGUGUGGUGGCAGGCGCCUGUAAUCCCAGCUAUGGGGGAGGCUGAGGCAGGAAAAUUGCUUGACCCUGGGAGGCAGAGGUUGCAGUGAGCCGAGAUUGCACCAUUGCACUCCAGCCUGGGCAACAAGAGCAAAACUCCGUCUCAAAAAAAAAAAAAAAAAAAAAAUCAGAAAUGGACUUGUAAGUAGCUAGAUUAUAUACAUAAACUCCUUUUAGUUUUUGCUUUCCUUCAUGCUAAGCUUUACCUAUUUGCUGUCAUCUCUUAUAACAACAUUUUGUUUUCCUAAAUGUAUUGGAGUCAGUCCAUGCUGCAGAACUGGCUUAUAGGAAAUUAAGCCCCUUCAUAAGAUCCAUAAAUAGGACCUAUUGAAUAUCUAACUUUGAAAAGAAUGUUAUAGGUUUUAGUGCAGUAUCCAUUUUCAAAC